rnacentral:rRNA from 1 species
GACGAACGCUGGCGGCGUGCUUAACACAUGCAAGUCGAACGGAAAGGCCCUGCUUUUGUGGGGUGCUCGAGUGGCGAACGGGUGAGUAACACGUGAGUAACCUGCCCUUGACUUUGGGAUAACUUCAGGAAACUGGGGCUAAUACCGGAUAGGAGCUCCUGCUGCAUGGUGGGGGUUGGAAAGUUUCGGCGGUUGGGGAUGGACUCGCGGCUUAUCAGCUUGUUGGUGGGGUAGUGGCUUACCAAGGCUUUGACGGGUAGCCGGCCUGAGAGGGUGCCCGGCCACCUUGGGCCUGCGAUACGGCCCAGAAUCCUACGGGAGGCAGCAGUGGGGAAUCUUGCACAAUGGCCCGAAGCCUGAUGCAGCAACGCCGCGUGCGUGAUGACGGCCUUCGGGUUGUAAACCGCUUUCGCCUGUGACGAAGCGUGAGUGACGGUAAUGGGUAAAGAAGCACCGGCUAACUACGUG